CAUUCCAGCCUUUUGUUGAGGAUAAGGGACAUCAAUAAUCUCUAGCUUCGUUGAGCUGGGCAAGACAAUGUUGUUGGGUUUUCAGAAAGGCUGGAUUGUCAGUCAAAAUUGGUGUGUGUGUGUGUGUGUGUGUGUGUGUGUGUGUGUGUGUGUGUUUAGGUCUGUGAUGGUAGGAGAGCUGGGGACAUUCUGUCAGAAGUUUCUGUUUUACUGACUGGUGGGUAAUUUCACUAAUUCUAUCCCGAAGGAAGCUGAAGAGACAAGGAGGCAUCAUUAUUAUGAGAAGUAUAGAUAUUAGUGGACCCAGGACGAGAAGGAGUCAGGGACCCAAGAAAGACAAAAGGAAGAGAGGUCUGCUUUGGAGUUGGCCCCUGGAGGCUAUAGUUUGUAAGCUAGCUCAUUUAAGUUUUUAAUCCUCUCUUCUACUUGGCUGGAUUCAUUCACACAGUAGCAACACUCCUCAGUGAGGGAGGGGCAAGGACUUCCCUUUUCUGCAGCCAGCAAGUCCAGGGCUCUUUGGUUUUGCAGGGCUACAGAAGCAGGAAAGGUAAGCUGGUUUAGCUGUAGUUGCCCGGCUGAGGUUGAUUCCUGGAUAGUGUCUGGUAGCUGGGUAGAAAUUUACUGAGGUAGAUACAAACUAUGACCCAAUCUGCCUGUGGUCAAGCCUGUGUAGGAGCUGCUGAGGCUGCCAGACUAACUCCAGCCACGACUGGGAGAGCCACGGCCCAUCAGUUCCUGUGUAAGACUUGGAGGAGACUGUAGAACUCGCCUUUGGAAGUGACAUGCAAGGAGCAUGAGUGGAUUUGUCUCCACACUGGGAGAGCCUGAUUGUCAGCAGAAGAGCGUUCCCUCUGGGGUAUUUUGUCUGGGCAUCAUAUGCCUGAGGAAAUCAGAAGAUGUCUGAUCCCUUGGAACGGGAGUUACAGGUGAUUGGGAGCCACCAUUGUAUGCAGGUGCUGGAAAGCAAAUCCAGGUCCUCUACAAGAGCAACAAGUGCUCUUAACUGCAGAACCAUCUCUUCAGCUCCACACAAAGAUUUUAAAAAGAGAAUUCAGGGAGUCCAAGAACUGAGAUGAACACAAGGUCUUCACCGUCUCCACUGUCUGCUGGGACAGAGCAUCCCCCAUUGUGAGAAGAUCCUCUCGUCUCAGGGAAGAGUAGCUUCUAUGACCCACACCAGGAGACAUCAGACACUUGCCUAGCACAUCCCAGCCGCACACCUCUUCACAUGCUGUUUACCACAUGUGCUCUUUCAUCAGCUGUAUUAAAGGAUACCACAGGCUGGGUUUACAAUGUGGUAAUAACCAUGCAUGGUAAGAGAGAGGGGGGCCAGCAAGAUGGCUCAGUGGAUAAGGGUGCUUGCCACCAAACUUGAAGACCCAAGUUCAAUGCCCAGAACCCACAGGGGAGGAGAGCACUGUCUCUUAAAUGUUGUCUUCUGACUUCUACCCUCCCCUGAAGAAUGAAUGAAUGAAUGAAGAAAGAAAUGGCUUUCUGUAUCAUACGUUCCUUUCGUAAUCCUUGGUAGUUUCUCUUAUGCUUUUAUAAAAUUGUUUUAUUAGCAUA